rnacentral:rRNA from 1 species
AUACGGAGGAUGCGAGCGUUAUCCGGAUUUAUUGGGUUUAAAGGGAGCGUAGGUGGGAUAUUAAGUCAGCUGUGAAAGUUUGGGGCUCAACCUUAAAAUUGCAGUUGAUACUGGUUUCCUUGAGUACGGUACAGGUGGGCGGAAUUCGUGGUGUAGCGGUGAAAUGCUUAGAUAUCACGAAGAACUCCGAUCGCGAAGGCAGCUGACCGGGCCGGAACUGACACUGAUGCUCGAAAGUGCGGGUAUCAAACAGGAUUAGAUACCCUGGUAGUCCGCACAGUAAACGAUGAAUACUCGCUGUUUGCGAUACACUGUAAGCGGCCAAGCGAAAGCGUUAAGUAUUCCACCUGGGGAGUACGCCGGCAACGGUGAAACUCAAAGGAAUUGACGGGG